CUCCGGAAGUGCGGCACCCAGAGGCGGUCCUGUAGCCGGGCCGGCUUGGGGCUUGGUUCUAUGUCCCUGCGGGUCGGUGCAAGGGCGAAGAGGAACCCGUGGGCCUCAGGGGAUCCCGGGGGGCCGGACCAGUGUUCCCUAGUUGUGGGAGCAGACGCGUGGGCACAUUGCGGGCGGGCAGGGCCUGAAGUGCAGCUAUGUUUCCAGUGUCCUCUGGGUGUUUCCAAGAGCAACAAGAAACGAAUAAAUCUCUGGCUGCAUAAGGGGAGUGAACACAAAGUACAUUUGACCACAAAAUGACUCUUUAAAAGUCAGAACUACGGUAGCAUGAAGCCAAACGAG
rnacentral:lncRNA from 1 species